UAACGGCGAGUGAACCGGGAAGAGCUCAAAUUUGAAAUCUGGCGUGCUCAGUGCGUCCGAGUUGUAAUCUAUAGAGGCGUUUUCCGUGCCGGACUGUGUCCAAGUCCCUUGGAACAGGGUAUCAAAGAGGGUGAUAAUCCCGUACUUGACACAAUGACCGGUGCUCUGUGAUACGUCUUCUACGAGUCGAGUUGUUUGGGAAUGCAGCUCAAAAUGGGUGGUGAGUUCCAUCUAAAGCUAAAUAUUGGCGAGAGACCGAUAGCGAACAAGUACCGUGAGGGAAAGAUGAAAAGCACUUUGGAAAGAGAGUUAAACAGUACGUGAAAUUGUUGAAAGGGAAACGAUUGAAGUCAGUCGUGACUGAGAGGCUCAGCCGGUUCUGCCGGUGUAUUCCCCUCAGUCGGGUCAACAUCAGUUUUGUUCGGUGGAUAAGGGCAGCUGGAAGGUGGCACCCUCGGGUGUGUUAUAGCCAGCUGUCGCAUACAUCGAAUGAGACUGAGGAAUGCAGCUCGCCUUUAUGGCCGGGGUUCGCCCACGUCCGAGCUUAGGAUGUUGACAUAAUGGCUUUAA
rnacentral:rRNA from 1 species